rnacentral:lncRNA from 1 species
AGCAGCAAGCAGACUCCGCCCGGACUCCUACGGGAGCCGGGCUCUGCCGCCGACAUCGACUACAGGACAGCUUCGCUCGGACUCCUACGGGAGCCGGGCUCCGUCCUCGAUUCCAACGGCUGCAGACAGUCUUCGUCCGGACCUCUACGGUGGCCGGACUCUGACCACUGCCGAACUUCAGCCGACAGAUCAGCACUCCCAGGCCAC